GCAAAGUAGUCUAAUAAGUAAAAAGAUACUAGGUUGUGGUCCAAGAGAUGGUAUUGUAUAACCCCUUUGCUA
rnacentral:tRNA from 1 species